CCUACGGGAGGCAGCAGUAGGGAAUCUUCCGCAAUGGACGAAAGUCUGACGGAGCGACGCCGCGUGAGUGAUGAAGGCUUUCGGGUCGUAAAACUCUGUUGUUAGGGAAGAACAAGUGCUAGUUGAAUAAGCUGGCACCUUGACGGUACCUAACCAGAAAGCCACGGCUAACUACGUGCCAGCAGCCGCGGUAAUA
rnacentral:rRNA from 2 species